GGUUAAGUUAGAAAGGGCGCACGGUGGAUGCCUUGGCACUAGGAGCCGAUGAAGGACGGGACGAACACCGAUAUGCUUCGGGGAGCUGUAAGCAAGCUUUGAUCCGGAGAUUUCCGAAUGGGGAAACCCACCACUCGUAAUGGAGUGGUAUCCAUAUCUGAAUACAUAGGAUAUGAGAAGGCAGACCCGGGGAACUGAAACAUCUAAGUACCCGGAGGAAGAAAAGCAAAUGCGAUUCCCUGAGUAGCGGCGAGCGAAACGGGACCAGCCCAAACCAAGAGGCUUGCCUCUUGGGGUUGUAGGACACUCUGUACGGAGUUACAAAGGAACGAGGUAGAUGAAGAGGUCUGGAAAGGCCCGCCAUAGGAGGUAACAGCCCUGUAGUCAAAACUUCGUUCUCUCCUGAGUGGAUCCUGAGUACGGCGGAACACGUGAAAUUCCGUCGGAAUCCGGGAGGACCAUCUCCCAAGGCUAAAUACUCCCUAGUGACCGAUAGUGAACCAGUACCGUGAGGGAAAGGUGAAAAGCACCCCGGAAGGGGAGUGAAAGAGAUCCUGAAACCGUGUGCCUACAAGUAGUCAGAGCCCGUUAACGGGUGAUGGCGUGCCUUUUGUAGAAUGAACCGGCGAGUUACGAUCCCGUGCAAGGUUAAGCAGAAGAUGCGGAGCCGCAGCGAAAGCGAGUCUGAAUAGGGCGAAUUGAGUACGUGGUCGUAGACCCGAAACCAGGUGAUCUACCCAUGUCCAGGGUGAAGUUCAGGUAACACUGAAUGGAGGCCCGAACCCACGCACGUUGAAAAGUGCGGGGAUGAGGUGUGGGUAGGGGUGAAAUGCCAAUCGAACCUGGAGAUAGCUGGUUCUCUCCGAAAUAGCUUUAGGGCUAGCCUCAAGGUAAGAGUCUCGGAGGUAGAGCACUGAUUGGACUAGGGGCCCCUACCGGGUUACCGAAUUCAGUCAAACUCCGAAUGCCGAUGACUUAUCCUUGGGAGUCAGACUGCGAGUGAUAAGAUCCGUAGUCGAAAGGGAAACAGCCCAGACCGCCAGCUAAGGUCCCAAAGUAUACGUUAAGUGGAAAAGGAUGUGGAGUUGCUUAGACAACCAGGAUGUUGGCUUAGAAGCAGCCACCAUUUAAAGAGUGCGUAAUAGCUCACUGGUCGAGUGACUCUGCGCCGAAAAUGUACCGGGGCUAAACGUAUCACCGAAGCUGCGGACUGUUCUUCGAACAGUGGUAGGAGAGCGUUCUAAGGGCUGUGAAGCAAGACCGGAAGGACUUGUGGAGCGCUUAGAAGUGAGAAUGCCGGUAUGAGUAGCGAAAGAGGGGUGAGAAUCCCCUCCACCGAAUGCCUAAGGUUUCCUGAGGAAGGCUCGUCCGCUCAGGGUUAGUCGGGACCUAAGCCGAGGCCGAAAGGCGUAGGCGAUGGAUAACAGGUUGAUAUUCCUGUACCACCUCCUCACCAUUUGAGCAAUGGGGGGACGCAGGAGGAUAGGGUAAGCGCGGUAUUGGAUAUCCGCGUCCAAGCAGUUAGGCUGGGAAAUAGGCAAAUCCGUUUCCCGUGAAGGCUGAGCUGUGAUGGCGAGCGAAUUAUAGUAGCGAAGUUCCUGAUUCCACACUGCCAAGAAAAGCCUCUAGCGAGGUGAGAGGUGCCCGUACCGCAAACCGACACAGGUAGGCGAGGAGAGAAUCCUAAGGUGAUCGAGAGAACUCUCGUUAAGGAACUCGGCAAAAUGACCCCGUAACUUCGGGAGAAGGGGUGCUCUGUUAGGGUGCAAGCCCGAGAGAGCCGCAGUGAAUAGGCCCAGGCGACUGUUUAGCAAAAACACAGGUCUCUGCGAAGCCGUAAGGCGAAGUAUAGGGGCUGACGCCUGCCCGGUGCUGGAAGGUUAAGAGGAGCGCUUAGCGUAAGCGAAGGUGCGAAUUGAAGCCCCAGUAAACGGCGGCCGUAACUAUAACGGUCCUAAGGUAGCGAAAUUCCUUGUCGGGUAAGUUCCGACCCGCACGAAAGGCGCAACGAUCUGGGCACUGUCUCAACGAGAGACUCGGUGAAAUUAUAGUACCUGUGAAGAUGCAGGUUACCCGCGACAGGACGGAAAGACCCCGUGGAGCUUUACUGCAGCCUGAUAUUGAAUGUUGGUACAGCUUGUACAGGAUAGGUAGGAGCCUUGGAAACCGGAGCGCCAGCUUCGGUGGAGGCAUCGGUGGGAUACUACCCUGGCUGUAUUGACCUUCUAACCCGCCGCCCUUAUCGGGCGGGGAGACAGUGUCAGGUGGGCAGUUUGACUGGGGCGGUCGCCUCCUAAAAGGUAACGGAGGCGCCCAAAGGUUCCCUCAGAAUGGUUGGAAAUCAUUCGCAGAGUGUAAAGGCACAAGGGAGCUUGACUGCGAGACCUACAAGUCGAGCAGGGACGAAAGUCGGGCUUAGUGAUCCGGUGGUUCCGCAUGGAAGGGCCAUCGCUCAACGGAUAAAAGCUACCCCGGGGAUAACAGGCUUAUCUCCCCCAAGAGUCCACAUCGACGGGGAGGUUUGGCACCUCGAUGUCGGCUCAUCGCAUCCUGGGGCUGUAGUCGGUCCCAAGGGUUGGGCUGUUCGCCCAUUAAAGCGGUACGCGAGCUGGGUUCAGAACGUCGUGAGACAGUUCGGUCCCUAUCCGUCGCGGGCGCAGGAAAUUUGAGAGGAGCUGUCCUUAGUACGAGAGGACCGGGAUGGACGCACCGCUGGUGUACCAGUUGUUCUGCCAAGGGCAUCGCUGGGUAGCUAUGUGCGGACGGGAUAAGUGCUGAAAGCAUCUAAGCAUGAAGCCCCCCUCAAGAUGAGAUUUCCCAUUCCGCAAGGAAGUAAGAUCCCUGAAAGAUGAUCAGGUUGAUAGGUCUGAGGUGGAAGUGUGGCGACACAUGGAGCUGACAGAUACUAAUCGAUCGAGGACUUAACCAA
rnacentral:rRNA from 1 species